rfam:Triticum aestivum genome assembly, contig: Triticum_aestivum_CS42_TGACv1_scaffold_328166_4BS
AAUAUACUCCCUCCGUCCAGAAAUACUUGUCAUCAAAAUAAAUAAAAAUGAAUGCAUCUAGAUGUAUUUUAGUUUUAGAUAUCCCUUUUUGUCCAUUUUGAUGACAAGUAUUUUCGGACGGAGGGAAUACUAC